rnacentral:rRNA from 1 species
GACGAACGCUGGCGGCAUGCCUAAUACAUGCAAGUCGAGCGAACAGAUGAAGUGCUUGCACUUCUGACGUUAGCGGCGAACGGGUGAGUAACACGUAAGGAAUCUACCUAUAAGCGGGGGAUAACAUUCGGAAACGGGUGCUAAUACCGCAUAAUAUCUUCUUCCGCAUGGAAGAAGAUUGAAAGACGGCUCUGCUGUCGCUUAUAGAUGACCUUGCGGUGCAUUAGUUCGUUGGUGGGGUAACGGCCUACCAAGACGAUGAUGCAUAGCCGACCUGAGAGGGUGAUCGGCCACAUUUGGACUGAGACACGGCCCAAACUCCUACGGGAGGCAGCAGUAGGGAAUCUUCCGCAAUGGGCGAAAGCCUGACGGAGCAAUGCCGCGUGAGUGAAGAAGGCCUUCGGGUCGUAAAACUCUGUUAUAAGAGAAGAACAAAUUGUAGAGUAACUGCUACAGUCUUGACGGUAUCUUAUCAGAAAGCCACGGCUAACUACGUGCCAGCCGCCGCGGUAA